rnacentral:rRNA from 1 species
GUGAGUAACCUGCCCUUGACUCUGGGAUAAGCCUGGGAAACUGGGUCUAAUACCGGAUAUGACCUUCCGCCGCAUGGUGGUUGGUGGAAAGCUUUUGUGGUUUUGGAUGGACUCGCGGCCUAUCAGCUUGUUGGUGGGGUAAUGGCCUACCAAGGCGACGACGGGUAGCCGGCCUGAGAGGGUGACCGGCCACACUGGGACUGAGACACGGCCCAGACUCCUACGGGAGGCAGCAGUGGGGAAUAUUGCACAAUGGGCGCAAGCCUGAUGCAGCGACGCCGCGUGAGGGAUGACGGCCUUCGGGUUGUAAACCUCUUUCAGUAGGGAAGAAGCGAAAGUGACGGUACCUGCAGAAGAAGCGCCGGCUAACUACGUGCCAGCAGCCGCGGUAAUACGUAGGGCGCAAGCGUUAUCCGGAAUUAUUGGGCGUAAAGAGCUCGUAGGCGGUUUGUCGCGUCUGCCGUGAAAGUCCGGGGCUCAACUCCGGAUCUGCGGUGGGUACGGGCAGGCUAGAGUGAUGUAGGGGAGACUGGAAUUCCUGGUGUAGCGGUGAAAUGCGCAGAUAUCAGGAGGAACACCGAUGGCGAAGGCAGGUCUCUGGGCAUUAACUGACGCUGAGGAGCGAAAGCAUGGGGAGCGAACAGGAUUAGAUACCCUGGUAGUCCAUGCCGUAAACGUUGGGCACUAGGUGUGGGGGACAUUCCACGUUUUCCGCGCCGUAGCUAACG